rnacentral:miRNA from 7 species
GGGAGAGCAGGGCAGGGUUUCC